ACUCAAAGGAAUAGACGGGGGCCCGCACAAGCAGUGGAGUAUGUGGUUUAAUUCGAAGCAACGCGAAGAACCUUACCGGGGCUUGACAUCUGCCGAAGUCCAAGAGAUUGGAUGUGCCUUCGGGAGCGGCAAGACAGGUGGUGCAUGGUUGUCGUCAGCUCGUGUCGUGAGAUGUUGGGUUAAGUCCCGCAACGAGCGCAACCCCUAUUGUUAGUUGCCAUCAUUAAGUUGGGCACUCUAACGAGACUGCCGGUGACAAAUCGGAGGAAGGUGGGGACGACGUCAAAUCAUCAUGCCCCUUAUGUCCCGGGCUACACACGUACUACAAUGGCCGUUAACAACGGGAAGCGAAGUCGCGAGGCGGAGCAAAUCCCCAAAAACGGUCUCAGUUCGGAUUGCAGGCUGCAACCCGCCUGCAUGAAGUUGGAAUUGCUAGUAAUCGCGAAUCAGCAUGUCGCGGUGAAUACGUUCCCGGGCCUUGCACACACCGCCCGU
rnacentral:rRNA from 1 species